rnacentral:rRNA from 1 species
GAUGAACGCUGGCGGCGUGCCUAAUACAUGCAAGUCGAGCGAACGGACGAGAAGCUUGCUUCUCUGAUGUUAGCGGCGGACGGGUGAGUAACACGUGGAUAACCUACCUAUAAGACUGGGAUAACUUCGGGAAACCGGAGCUAAUACCGGAUAAUAUUUUGAACCGCAUGGUUCAAAAGUGAAAGACGGUCUUGCUGUCACUUAUAGAUGGAUCCGCGCUGCAUUAGCUAGUUGGUAAGGUAACGGCUUACCAAGGCAACGAUGCAUAGCCGACCUGAGAGGGUGAUCGGCCACACUGGAACUGAGACACGGUCCAGACUCCUACGGGAGGCAACAGUAGGGAAUCUUCCGCAAUGGGCGAAAGCCUGACGGAGCAACGCCGCGUGAGUGAUGAAGGUCUUCGGAUCGUAAAACUCUGUUAUUAGGGAAGAACAUAUGUGUAAGUAACUGUGCACAUCUUGACGGUACCUAAUCAGAAAGCCACGGCUAACUACGUGCCAGCAGCCGCGGUAAUACGUAGGUGGCAAGCGUUAUCCGGAAUUAUUGGGCGUAAAGCGCGCGUAGGCGGUUUUUUAAGUCUGAUGUGAAAGCCCACGGCUCAACCGUGGAGGGUCAUUGGAAACUGGAAAACUUGAGUGCAGAAGAGGAAAGUGGAAUUCCAUGUGUAGCGGUGAAAUGCGCAGAGAUAUGGAGAAACACCAGUGGCGAAGGCGACUUUCUGGUCUGUAACUGACGCUGAUGUGCGAAAGCGUGGGGAUCAAACAGGAUUAGAUACCCUGGUAGCCCACGCCGUAAACGAUGAGUGCUAAGUGUUAGGGGGUUUCCGCCCCUUAGUGCUGCAGCUAACGCAUUAAGCACUCCGCCUGGGGAGUACGACCGCAAGGUUGAAACUCAAAGGAAUUGACGGGGACCCGCACAAGCGGUGGAGCAUGUGGUUUAAUUCGAAGCAACGCGAAGAACCUUACCAAAUCUUGACAUCCUUUGACAACUCUAGAGAUAGAGCUUUCCCCUUCGGGGGACAAAGUGACAGGUGGUGCAUGGUUGUCGUCAGCUCGUGUCGUGAGAUGUUGGGUUAAGUCCCGCAACGAGCGCAACCCUUAAGCUUAGUUGCCAUCAUUAAGUUGGGCACUCUAAGUUGACUGCCGGUGACAAACCGGAGGAAGGUGGGGAUGACGUCAAAUCAUCAUGCCCCUUAUGAUUUGGGCUACACACGUGCUACAAUGGACAAUACAAAGGGCAGCGAAACCGUGAGGUCAAGCAAAUCCCAUAAAGUUGUUCUCAGUUCGGAUUGUAGUCUGCAACUCGACUACAUGAAGCUGGAAUCGCUAGUAAUCGUAGAUCAGCAUGCUACGGUGAAUACGUUCCCGGGUCU